AAAAAAUUAGUUAAAAAAAAUAACAUUAACUUGUCAAGUUAAAAUUAUUAAUUAUUUAAUAUUUUUUA
rnacentral:tRNA from 1 species